ACGUGAGCAAUGUGCCCUUGACUCUGGGAUAAGCGCUGGAAACGGCGUCUAAUACCGGAUACGACGAUCGGAGGCAUCUCCUGGUCGUGGAAAGAACUUCGGUCAAGGAUCAGCUCACGGCCUAUCAGUUAGUUGGUGAGGUAAUGGCUCACCAAGACGACGACGGGUAGCCGGCCUGAGAGGGUGACCGGCCACACUGGGACUGAGACACGGCCCAGACUCCUACGGGAGGCAGCAGUGGGGAAUAUUGCACAAUGGGCGCAAGCCUGAUGCAGCAACGCCGCGUGAGGGACGAAGGCCUUCGGGUUGUAAACCUCUUUUAGCAGGGAAGAAGCGAGAGUGACGGUACCUGCAGAAAAAGCACCGGCUAACUACGUGCCAGCAGCCGCGGUAAUACGUAGGGUGCAAGCGUUGUCCGGAAUUAUUGGGCGUAAAGAGCUCGUAGGCGGUUUGUCACGUCUGCUGUGAAAACCCGAGGCUCAACCUCGGGCUUGCAGUGGGUACGGGCAGACUAGAGUGCGGUAGGGGAGAUUGGAAUUCCUGGUGUAGCGGUGGAAUGCGCAGAUAUCAGGAGGAACACCGAUGGCGAA
rnacentral:rRNA from 1 species